AUAUCAAUAAGCGGAGGAAAAGAAACCAACAGGGAUUGCCCCAGUAACGGCGAGUGAAGCGGCAACAGCUCAAAUUUGAAAUCUGGCCCCUAGGGUCCGAGUUGUAAUUUGUAGAGGAUGCUUUUGGUGAGGUGCCGCCCGAGUUCCCUGGAACGGGACGCCACAGAGGGUGAGAGCCCCGUCUGGCUGGCCACCGAGCCUCUGUAAAGCUCCUUCGACGAGUCGAGUAGUUUGGGAAUGCUGCUCAAAAUGGGAGGUAUAUGUCUUCUAAAGCUAAAUAUUGGCCAGAGACCGAUAGCGCACAAGUAGAGUGAUCGAAAGAUGAAAAGCACCUUGAAAAGAGGGUUAAACAGUACGUGAAAUUGUUGAAAGGGAAGCGCUUGUGACCAGACUUGGGCGCGGCGAAUCAUCCGGGGUUCUCUCCGGUGCACUUCGCCGUGUUCAGGCCAGCAUCAGUUCGGCGCGGGGGAAAAAGGCUUCGGGAACGUGGCUGCUCCGGCAGUGUUAUAGCCCGUUGCAUAAUACCCUGCGCUGGACUGAGGACCGCGCAUCUGCAAGGAUGCUGGCGUAAUGGUCACCAGCGA
rnacentral:rRNA from 1 species